CCUACGGGGGGCAGCAGUGGGGAAUAUUGGACAAUGGGGGCAACCCUGAUCCAGCCAUGCCGCGUGUGUGAAGAAGGCCCUCGGGUUGUAAAGCACUUUCAGUGAGGAAGAACGCCUGGUGGUUAAUACCCAUCAGGAAAGACAUCACUCACAGAAGAAGCACCGGCUAACUCCGUGCCAGCAGCCGCGGUAAUACGGAGGGUGCGAGCGUUAAUCGGAAUUACUGGGCGUAAAGCGCGCGUAGGUGGCUUGAUAAGCCAGUUGUGAAAGCCCCGGGCUCAACCUGGGAACGGCAUCCGGAACUGUCAAGCUAGAGUGCAGGAGAGGAAGGUAGAAUUCCCGGUGUAGCGGUGAAAUGCGUAGAGAUCGGGAGGAAUACCAGUGGCGAAGGCGGCCUUCUGGACUGACACUGACACUGAGGUGCGAAAGCGUGGGUAGCAAACAGGAUUAGAUACCCUAGUAGUC
rnacentral:rRNA from 1 species